UGAGGAAUUUUCGUCAAUGGGGGCAACCCUGAACGAGCAACGCCGCGUGCAGGAGGACGCUUUUCGGAGUGUAAACUGCUUUUCUGAGGGACGAGCAAGGACGGUACCUCAGGAACAAGCCCCGGCUAACUACGUGCCAGCAGCCGCGGUAAUACGUAGGGGGCGAGCGUUGUCCGGAGUUACUGGGCGUAAAGGGCACGUAGGCGGUCAUGCCAGUCUGAAGUGACAGUUCCCGGCUCAACUGGGGAAGGUCUUUGGAAACUGCAUGACUUGAGGGCUUCAGAGGGACACGGAAUUCCGGGUGGAGUGGUGAAAUGCGUAGAGAUCCGGAGGAACACCAAAGGCGAAGGCAGUGUCCUGGGAAGUAUCUGACGCUCAGGUGCGAAAGCCAGGGGAGCGAA
rnacentral:rRNA from 1 species